UACGGCGGCCAUAGCGAAAGGGAAACACCCGGUCCCAUCCCGAACCCGGAAGUU
rnacentral:rRNA from 2 species